rnacentral:lncRNA from 1 species
CGGAGAGAAGGAAGCCUAAAGGAGAACCACCUGCUCCACAUCUUCAGAUCCCGAGGCUGGAAGGAUCUUGGGAGAGCCAGCGGAGGCCAGUUACCCGGCGGUGUCAGUGGCUGGGAGAUCCCUUCUUGAGCCUGGCCGAGGAGAAGAAAUAGGAAGGGCCCCAGGUUUUGAGGUUCUUCCAGGAAUGGGGAGUAAUUGGGUGGAUCACACAGAUCUUCCUCCUGAUCUGUCUUUCAGAGGGAUCCCCAAGGAUAAAAGUCAAGGUCUGGAUUCCUCACUAGUGGACAAAAUACAGUCACCGUUGUUCAUUGAAUCAUCUCCUUCUGUUGGUGGAUCUGAAAGAGCUGCUGGACUCCUGACUCAGGUAAGAAGGAAGAGAUUAGCAGCUUAUAUAGGGGAGAGUAGGAGACCUCCAGUUUCC